AUGCAAUUUUCUUAUCUGAGCUUUGGCCAAUAGAGUAUCAAUGCAUGUGAAACACAGAGAGAGGUGAAACUGCUAUUGCGAUUAAGGCUCUUUGAAAGAUUUUUGGAAGAAAUUUGAAGAGGAAGUGAAAAAGAUAGAGAUGGAGAUCUCGGUUUUAGAAAGCAUUUAUCUGAUGUGAUGAGAGAGAUGACUUCCUUAACCAUGAGUUUGAGUUUCUUAGUAAUCAGGAUAAGGUUCAAGUGAAAAGGUUAAAAGCUAAGGGUUCACUAAAAGCCAAAGGGAGAUGUUUAUCGGAAGGUGAAAGCUUGGGCAAUUAUAGCAAUUUCUCCUUUAACUCUUUUCAAAUGUUUGGUGGAUUUUACGAAAAAUAAGGAUGGUAAAAUUGUGAUGUCUUCAACAGACUAGGACACAGAAGUGCUGCAAUAGUCUCUCUCUGGCAAUCAUGAGCAAAACAGGCAUUCCUAGCAUUUGGUUAGUAUAUUACCCAUCAAAGAUGCAAUUGACAUAUCUGGUUUGCUAUGGCACGGUAUGUGUAUUGUUGAUCUUUUGAUUUAUGAUAUGAUGAUGACAUAAUCAUCUUUUUGAUGUUGCCGCUUAAUGUGCCACGUCCCCAUCAGAAGAGGAAAAGAAAAACACUCACAACUACAUUAACUUUUACCUUUUAUUCUUACUUAUCUGAACAUAAUUAUUUGUUAUAAUUUAUAAAUGACAAUUUCAUGUUAUAUUCCAAUCUGUUUUUCUAUAUUUUAACUUGUUUUAAUUUGUUUACUGAACAUUUAUUAUGAGUCGGUUUUUGGUUGGUUUUAAUAUAUGAUUUAUAUAUGAGCAUUAAUGGCAGUUCGUUGGGGGAAAGAAUAAAACAAAGAACUGGAUUGCUAAAAUAACUACUAGGGGAAGGAUGUCCAUCCCUCUGAAAAUGUUUUGAGCCGUUGGUUUUCUUAUUUCUACUUUUUAAAGACUUCCUUAUGUUCUUUUCUUUUUUUGGUAGAGAAAGUAUGAUCCAACUUUCUGCUUCCUUAUUGGCUAUACAAAUUAUGCAGGGUUAUCCUUGCCCUUUUAAAAAUAAAUCAAAAGUAGCUAUUUUGAUUAGAGAUAGAGUUCAAUCCUUUGCCUACUUUUAUAUUCCCUUUUGUAUAAGUUUUAAUUAAAAAAUUAAUAUACAUAUAUAUAUAUAUAUUUUACAAUUUGAGUUUUCCCCAUUGUACUCUGACUAAACUUUUCUUUUGGUACAAUAAACAGCUUUCUAUUGUUUUUUUGUUUAAUUAAUCGCCUCCAUUGAUAUUUGAUUUUGCAUGUUUUUUAGUUGAAUUUUAUUUUUAAAUUUUGACAAAUUUUAGAGAUUUGGUUUUUUGUUUCUGUCUUAGAAAGUCAAGAGAAUAAUUAGAAAGGAACGGCAUUGACAAACCUUCCCUUGUCGGCAGAUUGGCUGCUUACCGGCCACUUGCUUCAUUGAGUGAGUUGGUUUUCGCGUUGUAUCCAUGAUAAUGAUAGCCUUUUUUCUGGACCAUUGAUAACAAAUUUACGACGAUCUAUGAAGGAAUAGGACGACUGAAUAUGCUUAUAGUCAAGAUUGUUUUUGCCGAAAGAUUAUCCAAUUGGGCAACAAGCUUUAUUUAUUCUUUAUUUGAUUAAUAUAUGAUUAAUGGAUUAGUUAAUGUUAUUGCAAGAGAAUUUUGUUAAACAGUUCCAAGAAAUUAAUUAAUUUAAAGGCCAAACAGAGCCCAUUAUAAUGAUUAGUUUUCUUCUUCUAAGAAGAAAACUUCACGCUGACAAUAUGAUUGAUGGAUUAGUUAAUGUUAUGGAAAGGGAGUUCUGUUAAAUAGUUCUAUGAAAUUAAUUGGAAAUUUGAACUAGCAUUACUUUUAACUCAAAAUAAAAUGUUUCCAUAACACAGAGAAAUAUACAACUUCAUACCUUAACACAUAUCAUGCACAACCAAUUCAUAUUACAUUUCAUUCCAAAUGUAAUUUCAACUUACAAUUACUAUUUUUUUCCCUUAUGUUGCAUUGACAUAAAGCAAGAUUGAAGUGGUUAAACCAUUAUUUCCUUACAAUAGAAGCUCUGGAAAAACUAUUGCUUUAUUUGUGAACGUGAUAUUGACAGAUACUUUUAGGAAAAAAUUUGAACACAAACUCAGUUCUAUGCUAAAGUAGACAAUUAUAUGAACUUUUUCUUAUUAUGAGCACUAAUUUGAAUAUAAUUUCUUAUGGUAUCAACAUAGAAAUUGCAACUUAUUUUUAUAUUUGUAUUCCUUCUAUUGCAGUGAUAUUAACAAAGUUUUAAAUCAAGAAGCCAUAACUUUUAUAUCAUCCAAGUUGUGAAAAUAAAUUUAUUAUUUGCAUACAAUUAUCAUCUAUAGUUAUUUCAAAUGUAU